rnacentral:tRNA from 3 species
CUCAGUUGGUUAGAGCACCACCUUGACAUGGUGGGGGUCGAUGGUUCGAGUCCAUUCAGACGCACCAAUCCAUU